rnacentral:rRNA from 1 species
UACAGAGGUGGCAAGCGUUGUUCGGAAUUAUUGGGCGUAAAGGGCGCGUAGGCGGCCUUCUAAGUCAGACGUGAAAUCCCCCGGCUUAACCUGGGAACUGCGUCUGAUACUGGAUGGCUUGAGUUUGGGAGAGGGAUGCGGAAUUCCUGGUGUAGCGGUGGAAUGCGCAGAUAUCAGGAGGAACACCGAUGGCGAAGGCAGGUCUCUGGGCCGCAACUGACGCUGAGGAGCGAAAGCAUGGGGAGCGAACAGG